AGUAAUACAAUGCCCUCUGAUGUUCACACCAGCAUCUCACUGGAGAAGAAAAGAAUGUUGUUGGCUACCUGGGACCAGAAGACUUCUUAGUGAAUCCUGCAAUGGACUGACCUCAUCUUCCCGAGGCUGUGAUGUUUCAGGAGAGUUUCACUAUUGCUGACCAACUGAGACCACCAGGAGCUCCUAAGUGCAAAGAAUGGCUACAUCUUUUCUUCUGGAUACCACCAGAUCAUUCCAGCCACCUGCCUUUGUGGUGUCUCCAGACAAGGGCUGACAACCAUCGAAGCAUCGAAACCCUAAGGCUACUUGGAGAGAAGAAGACUGUCCCUGGAGAAGAGUCCUUCCUUGCCAUCUGGAUCUCCUAGCUUCCCCCUGAAGAGGAGAGAGAGAAAGAGCCAGCAGAUCUUCAGAAGAUAAUCACCACUAAAACUACGCAGCAUUACAAAUCUGUGAAACCAAACAUGGGUUUAACAGAUUGCUACGUGUCAGAGUCAUACAGUCCAUUAAACUGCGUUUAAAUAAAAAAAAA
rnacentral:lncRNA from 1 species